CGCAAAGGAUUCUUUUCGAGCGACAGUGCGAAGGUGUCAGGUAGAGGGAGGCGAUCCGGUGCCGCUCAGCGUGGUUUCGUCGGACGCCAGCGUCGGAGAUCGUCCAUUUUGAAGUGAGGAGGAAGGGAAGAAGGGAGAACCCGGGGAAGGUGCUCAAUCAAUGGGGAAGGCAGCUUUAGUUCGAGCAAUACCUUCUGAAGAUGCCUUGCGCCCUCCCUGGUCAUCGUUAGGGAUGACGGAUAGAGAAGAACGGAGAGGGACGUCUUGGAGGAGCUAGGGUCGUAUCUCAUGAGGACAGCUCCUUUUGCGUUUACCCUGAAGGAUUUUUAACCAUGAUACCACGCCAGAACAAAGAGCGAAGGUCAUCUAUUCUCCCGAGCAUCUAAACCUGUCGUGGGUUCAUCCAUGAAUAUGAUAGAAGGGCUUGAAACCAACUCCACUGCUAUCGUCAGACGUUUCCGUUGUUCUGCUUCUUUCUGAAGAAGCCGGCCAUAAUGAGAAGAGCCAAAGGAAUCUGAGAACUUCUGCACGGGUACGUACUGGAGACAAGUGAUCAGGAACCUGUUAACUUUAAGGAACAACUGGUAGUUGGUACCUCUUGAAGGAAGUUGGCGACGUUCUUCCUAUCAGGACAUUUGAAGCCCAUCGACUCAAAAAAUUCAAGAACAUGUUGCCGUGGUCCUUGGAGGCUGACGCCGAUGCAAAUUUUGGAGAAAAUUAAAAUACGACUAGAAUUUGUAUUCUGUCUUGUGAUAGCUGAUAUCUAUGGAAAAGAACAGAUUCCAACUUUCAUGUUGGACAAAUCCUAGCUAUCAGUUAUCGUCAUGUUGCCGAUAUGGUAUCAUCAACUUUGAACCUUAAAGAGUCAAAGUUCAUUGUUGAAUGUCUUGGUUAUUGUAAUAUCUUUAAAUCGCUCUGUAAAUUAAAAUAUGACAUUCUACGCUUUG